CUUCAACGGGAGGCAUUUUCCCAUGAGAUUCAGAAGAGAACGCACACUUCCACGAACGAUAUAUCAUCGAAGAGAUAUGUGAAAAACACCUUGAGGAUUGAUUCUAAACAACGUUUACCAUGUUUCAGUCGAUAUUAUGGAGUUAAUUUGGAAAAAAGUUUGGCGUUUUGAUGACUGAAUUUUCGGGGUUUUUUUGUAGCCAAAAGUGAUGCACCAAACGGAGCGAUUUCUCCUAAACAAAUAAUCUUUCAGGAAAAACUGAACAUUUGCUAUCUAACUGAGAGUCUCCUCAUUGAAAACAUCCAAAGUUCUUCAAAGAGGACCUGAGUCCUAGGACCAUGCCCCAGGACUACCUGACAUGAUGAGUCCUUGCUGUCCCCAGUUCACCUGGCGUGCUGCUUCUCCAGUUUCAACUGUUCUGCCUUAUUAUUAUUCGACCAUGCUGGUCAUUUAUGAACAUUUGAACAUCUUGGCCAUGUUCUGUUAUAAUCUCCAUCCGGCACAGCCAGAAGAGGACUGGCCACCCCACAUAACACCCCGGCCAUCCUACAAUCUAAGCUUGAUGCACUCAAUCUCACACAAAUGAUCAAUUAACCUACCAGGUACAACCCCAAAUCCGUAAACACGGGCACCCUCAUAGAUAUCUUCCUAAGUAACUCGCCCUCCAAAUACACCUCUGCCAUUUUCAACCAAGAUCUCAGCGAUCACUGCCUCAUUGCCUGCAUCCGUAAUGGGUCAACCACACCUCAUCACUGUCAACCGCUCCCUAAAACACUUCUGCGAACAAGCCAUUCUAACUGACCUGGCCGGGGUAUCCUGGAAUGACAUUGACCUCAUCCCGUCAGUAGAGGAUGCCUGGUUAUUCUUUAAAAGUGCCUUUCUCACCAUCUUAAAUUAGCAUGCUCCAUUCAAAACAUUUAGAACUAGGAAUAGAUAUAGCCCUUGGUUCACUCCAGACCUGUCUGCCCUUGACCAGCACAAAAACAUCCUGUGGCGUUCUGCAAUAGCAUUGAAUAGCCCCCAUGAUAUGCACCUUUUCAGGGAAGUUAGGAAAGCUAAGGCUAGCUUUUUCGAACAGAAAUUUGCAUCCUGU
ensembl:lncRNA